GGAACCUGCGGAGGGAUCAUUACCGAGUUUACAACUCCCAAACCCAAUGUGAACGUUACCAAACUGUUGCCUCGGCGGGGUCACGCCCCGGGUGCGUCGCAGCCCCGGAACCAGGCGCCCGCCGGAGGAACCAACCAAACUCUUUCUGUAGUCCCCUCGCGGACGUAUUUCUUACAGCUCUGAGCAAAAAUUCAAAAUGAAUCAAAACUUUCAACAACGGAUCUCUUGGUUCUGGCAUCGAUGAAGAACGCAGCGAAAUGCGAUAAGUAAUGUGAAUUGCAGAAUUCAGUGAAUCAUCGAAUCUUUGAACGCACAUUGCGCCCGCCAGUAUUCUGGCGGGCAUGCCUGUCCGAGCGUCAUUUCAACCCUCGAACCCCUCCGGGGGAUCGGCGUUGGGGAUCGGGACCCCUCACACGGGUGCCGGCCCCGAAAUACAGUGGCGGUCUCGCCGCAGCCUCUCCUGCGCAGUAGUUUGCACAACUCGCACCGGGAGCGCGGCGCGUCCACGUCCGUAAAACACCCAACUUUCUGAAAUGUUGACCUCGGAUCAGGUAGGAAUACCCGCUGAACUUAAGCAUAUCAAUAGCGGGGA
rnacentral:rRNA from 1 species